rnacentral:rRNA from 1 species
UACGGAGGGUGCAAGCGUUGCUCGGAAUUAUUGGGCGUAAAGGGUAGGUAGGUGGUCUUAUUUGUCUGGGGUGAAAGCCUUGGGCUUAACUCAAGAAGUGCCCCAGAAACGGUGAGACUAGAGUCCUGGAGAGGGUCGUGGAAUUCCCGGUGUAGCGGUGAAAUGCGUAGAGAUCGGGAGGAACACCAGAGGCGAAAGCGGCGACCUGGACAGGCACUGACACUCAACUACGAAAGCGUGGGGAGCAAACAGGAUUAGAAACCCCUGUAGUCC